UCUCCUGUCAGCUCAGUGGUAGAGCGUCUCACCGGAGUGUGGAAGGUCAAAGCGGUUCGACUCCUGUUGGAAGAA